GACGAACGCUGGCGGCGUGCUUAACACAUGCAAGUCGAACGGAAAGGCCCUGCUUUUGUGGGGUGCUCGAGUGGCGAACGGGUGAGUAACACGUGAGUAACCUGCCCUUGACUUUGGGAUAACUUCAGGAAACUGGGGCUAAUACCGGAUAGGAGCUCCUGCUGCAUGGUGGGGGUUGGAAAGUUUCGGCGGUUGGGGAUGGACUCGCGGCUUAUCAGCUUGUUGGUGGGGUAGUGGCUUACCAAGGCUUUGACGGGUAGCCGGCCUGCGAGGGUGACCGGCCACAUUGGGACUGGGAUACGGCCCAGACUCCUACGGGAGGCAGCAGUGGGGAGUAUUGCACUAUGGGCGGAGGCCUGAUGCAGCAACGCCGCGUGCGGGAUGACGGCCUUCGGGUUGUAAACCGCUUUCGCUUGUGACGAAGCGUGAGUGACAGUAAUGGGUAAAGAAGCACCGGCUAACUACGUG
rnacentral:rRNA from 1 species